rnacentral:lncRNA from 1 species
GGGGUGCUAUGUGAAAAUUUUCAAAAAGUAUUAGCUUUUUCUGAAAAUUUGCCCUUGCUUUUUUCUAUUAUUGUUAUUAUGAAUUUUACUAUUAUUGUCCCUCAAAGGUUUAAUCUCCAACGAAACAAUGAGCAGAUACGAAAAGUAGAAAUUUCAUGCCGCCAAAACAAAUGCUUAGUGACGCUAAGUUCCAGAAACCCUAACACAGGAAUUGCCACUAAAUGACGAAAUCACCCCUCUAAGGUUACGAGGCCAAGCCAUAUAAUAGAACAAAUCAUGAUCGUCACUAUGCAAAUCAAGGUUCAUCGUACCACAAUGUGCUAUCUGAUAUGAACGAUACAUACCAAUCCAAUAGGGGACUGGUAUGGGUGGUAUAUGUCGAUCUACCAAUAUGUCCCAUUGUAUCAUUUGUUGGUACAUCAGUACAGUUCGAUACAUACUAUACCAACGGUCGGUUAGUACACCAGUAUGGACCGGUAAGAUGAUCCAUGACGCAAAUAGCCCUCUCUCGCACAGAAAAGAUGUUCCAAUCCAGGAAUGAAUCCGACGGCACAAUCACCAAAUUGAGACCACAGAUCGAACAAAAAUUCCAAGAACGACAUUUGUCUAAAGUUACACAACAUAGGAAAUUGAUCUGCACCCAAAAUUGGAGAAAGGAAUCAAGAACUGGAUCCAAGAAGGGGAAAAAAUGAUGGCGUGAAGAAUGAAUUAGACGGAGGAGAGAGGGAGAGAGAUAUUUUCUUGUAGAGGGAGGAACUGGGGUUCAGCUCCUGGCAGACGAGGGAUCCCAUCAGAUGUAGGGGACGUCGAGGAGCUCCGCCAAACGCAUGGCAUACACAUGCCUCUGCACCUAAGGGCUCCUCAUGAACACCCACUGCACCCUCCUCGCUUCUCUUACCGCAAGCAUCUGUGGCCACUGCAGCCGCGGCGGCGCUCCUCCCACUCCGUCUAGUACUCCACCUCCGCCAGCGCCGUGGCCGUGGCGCCGAAGGACCGGCGGUGCAUAGGCGGCGGCGCGAACACCCGUCGGGCGAGGGAUCGUGCUGCGAGGGCGCCUAAGCGGUGGAUCCCUGCAAUGGCGGCUGACCCGGGCUUCGAUCUCCUCCUCUUCGACGCCGUCAGUACGGGAAUGCUUAGUGACGUUAAGUUUCAGAAACCCUAACGUAGCACAAUGGCAGGAAUUGCCGCUAAAUGACGAAAUCACCCCUCUAAGGUUACGCGGCCGAGCCAUACUAUAGGACAAAUCAUGGCCGCCACUACGCAAAUAGCCCCCUCUCUUACACGGAAAAGAUGUUCCCAAUC